AAAGCUCUUCACCCUAUCUUUCAUGGCCUCUCCUUCUCCUCUCCAACUUCUCUUCUUCCUCUCUUUACCUUGGCUUCUUAUCACUUCCACUUCAUCAAAACAACUUCCUCAGGUAAAUUUUUUUUCCAUGGUUAACAAGAUUAUCACACAACAGUAUCAGAAACACAGAGAGAGAGAGUCUGCAAUCUUCCAAACAAGGAUUUUAGAGCCCCAUAGUGAAGUAGACAUCUACUGUUUUAUUGUUUUGAAGAUUACUUCUACCCACUAAGGAAAUUAUAGAGCUAUCCAUAUAUCUGCAUGAGAAAUUACAUUUUUUUUAAAAGAAUUUCAUUUAUAUGUGUUGUUGAAUCUUGGCAGCAAUAUGUUGUUUACAUGGGAAGUUCAUCCAAUGGAAAUGGAGGAGAUGCUAAAAUUGCAGAGUCUGCUCAUUUGCAGAUGUUAACCUCCAUUAUACCAAGUCAUGAAAGUGAGAGAAUAUCUCUAAUCCAUCAUUACAAUCAUGCUUUCAAGGGGUUCUCUGCCAUGCUUACACAGAGUGAAGCUUCUGAAUUGUCUGGUAAUUCCUCUUCUGUCUUCUGUUUCAAUAAUACUCAAAAGGAAAAAUGACAUCUUUACAUUUUUGGACUCUACGUUAUGGACAAUGGAAAAAAGAUAAAAGAUAAAAGAUAAAAGAAAAAAGAAAGUAAAAAAAAAAUUAAUAACAAAACACACAGUAAGUCAUUGAAAAGGACAGCAUGAUCUGAAAGAAAAGAAGAGGAAGAUAAUGAUAAUUCACCACUGAAUCAUUUAAAGAAAAUGAAAAUGUCACUAUUCAAACCCUUCCUUGCAUUACGAGAUAGGUACAGAAGCUUGGGAGAAAUUGAAAAUAUUUAUUGCGAUGCUUGGAUUAAUGAAUUCUGAAAAAACAGGCCAUGAUGGAAUUGUGUCAGUUUUCCAAGAUCCAAUUCUUCAACUCCACACUACGCGUUCAUGGGAUUUUUUGGAGGGAAAAUCAAGCAUGCAAUACAGCCAUAAGUAUCUUCAUACAUCAAGUGAUGUAAUUAUUGGGGUGAUUGACACAGGGAUAUGGCCUGAGUCUCCAAGUUUCAGUGACCAUGGAAUUGGAGAAAUCCCUUCAAGAUGGAAAGGAAUUUGCAUGGAAGGCAAUGACUUCAAGAAAUCCAAUUGUAAUAGGAAGCUGAUAGGAGCAAGAUAUUAUGACGAUAUCCUGAGAAUCUACAAAAAUAACGAGACCCAUGUGGCCAAACCAAGGGGCUCACCCAGGGACUAUAUUGGUCAUGGCACCCACACCACAUCUAUAGCAGGUGGUGCUCGAGUAGCUAAUGUUAGUUACUAUGGCCUAGCAGGAGGCACAGCUAGGGGUGGCUCUCCUUCAACUAGGAUUGCAGUCUACAAAGCCUGCACAUUAGAUGGUUGCUCUGGCUCCACCAUCUUGAAGGCAAUUGAUGAUGCAAUUAAGGAUGGAGUUGAUAUAAUUUCCAUUUCUAUUGGGGUGAACUCAAUUUUUCAAUCUGAUUACCUUAAUGAUCCCAUAGCAAUUGGUGCAUUUCAUGCACAACAAAUGGGUGUUUUAGUAAUCUGUUCUGGUGGAAAUGAUGGACCUGAACCUUACACUAUUGUCAACUCUGCUCCCUGGAUUUUUACUGUUGCAGCUUCUAAUAUUGAUAGAGACUUCCAAUCAACUGUCCUUCUUGGAAAUGGGAAGGCUUUCCAAGGAUCUGCCAUUAAUUUCUCAAACCUCACUCACUCAAGGACUUAUCCUCUUGUAUUUGGAGAGGAUGCUGCUGCUGCAUUUACCCCUAUUUCAGAAGCAAGGGAUUGUUAUCCUGGAUCAUUAGAUAGACAGAAAGUUGCUGGCAAGAUUGUGGUUUGCAUAGAUAGUGAUUUUAGCGUUCCUAGGCAAAUCAAGAAAUUAGUUGUAGAAGAUGCCAGAGCCAAAGGGUUGAUUUUGAUCAAUGAGGAUGAGAAAGGCGUACCCUUUGAUUCUGGUGUUUUUCCAUUUGCAGAAGUUGGCAAUAUUGCUGGAGCUCAGCUCCUUCAAUACAUCAAUUCUACCAAGUAAGCAUUAUCAUCAAUGAUCAUUACUUUCCUUCCUUGCUUUCAGAACCUCUCCUUUGAGCUACAGAUAUCCAAAUUAACCAUGAGCAAGCACUUCUUAAAUGGUCCAAAUCAUUGAUGCUUAUUUUUCUGUGUCUUCACAGAUAUCCAACUGCAACAAUCCUUCCAGCAGUUGAUCUUCCAAUGUAUAAACCAGCACCAGUCGUUGCAUAUUUCUCUUCCAGGGGGCCUGCACAGCUUACAGAAAACAUUCUGAAGCCAGAUAUAAUGGCUCCAGGAGUUGCCAUUUUAGCUGCCAUGAUUCCUAAAAAUGAGUCAGGAAGUAUUCCAAUUGGAAAGAAGCCAUCAGGAUAUGCAAUAAGAUCUGGGACAUCAAUGGCUUGCCCUCAUGUAGCAGGUGCUGCUGCAUUCAUAAAAUCCAUUCACCGUGAAUGGAGUUCAUCCAUGAUCAAAUCUGCACUUAUGACAACGGCAACCUUUUACAACAACUUGGGGAAACCCUUGACAAACAGCUCCCAUUCAAAUUCAAAUCCACAUGAGAUAGGGGUUGGAGAAAUAAAUCCAAUUAAAGCUCUUAACCCGGGAUUAGUUUUCAACACAAUGACCGAAGAUUAUCUUCAAUUCCUGUGUUAUUUUGGGUACUCACAGAAGAACAUAAGAUCCAUGGCCAACACAAACUUCAACUGUCCAAGAAUCAGUUUUGACAAGCUCAUCUCUAAUAUUAAUUACCCAUCAAUAUCCAUUAGCAAGCUUGAUGGACACCAAGCUUCCCAGGCCAUCAAAAGAAUCGUAACAAAUGUGGGAUCUCCAAAUGCCACAUACAUAGCUAGAGUGCAAGCCCCAGAAGGACUAAUGGUGAAGGUAUUACCAAAGAAGCUUAUUUUCAAGGAGGGGUCAUCAAAAAUGUCUUUCAAAGUCUCCUUUAAUGGAAAGAUGGCUUCAAGAGGAUACAAUUUUGGGUCUGUAACAUGGGUUGAUGGUAGACAUACUGUUCGUGUAGUGUUUACAGUAAAUGUUGAAUAGAAACAACAGAGAAGUGACAUUGGAGGGGCAAAGAAAUUGGUAGAAAGUGCUAUACAAUAUGGAAUCAUACUUUUGCUUUCCUUUUCUUUUCUUUUC
rnacentral:misc_RNA from 1 species